UGGGGAAUAUUGGACAAUGGGCGAAAGCCUGAUCCAGCCAUGCCGCGUGGAUGAUGAAGGCCUUAGGGUUGUAAAGUCCUUUCGGCGGGGAAGAUAAUGACGGUACCCGCAGAAGAAGCCCCGGCUAACUUCGUGCCAGCAGCCGCGGUAAUACGAAGGGGGCUAGCGUUGCUCGGAAUCACUGGGCGUAAAGCGCACGUAGGCGGCUUCUUAAGUCAGGGGUGAAAUCCUGGAGCUCAACUCCAGAACUGCCUCUGAUACUGAGGAGCUUGAGUCCGGGAGAGGUGAGUGGAACUCCGAGUGUAGAGGUGAAAUUCGUAGAUAUUCGGAAGAACACCAGUGGCGAAGGCGGCUCACUGGAUCGGUACUGACGCUGAGGUGCGAAAGCGUGGGGAGCAAACAGGAUUAGAUACCCAAGUAGUCCCUGAGCGGGCUGGCAAGGCGCAU
rnacentral:rRNA from 1 species